AGUGAACGCUGGCGGUAGGCCUAACACAUGCAAGUCGAACGGCAGCACAGUAAUAGCUUGCUCUUACGGGUGGCGGGUGGCGGACGGGUGAGGAAUACAUCGGAAUCUACUUUUUCGUGGGGGAUAACGUAGGGAAACUUACGCUAAUACCGCAUACGACCUACGGGUGAAAGCAUGGGAUCUUCGGACCUUGCGCGAUUGAAUGAGCCGAUGUCGGAUUAGCUAGUUGGCGGGGUAAAUGCCCACCAAGGCGACGAUCCGUAGCUGGUCUGAGAGGAUGAUCAGCCACACUGGAACUGGAACACGGUCCAGACUCCUACGGGAGGGAGCAGUGGGGAAUAUUGGACAAUGGGCGCAAGCCUGAUCCAGCCAUACCGCGUGGGUGAAGAAGGCCUUCGGGUUGUAAAGCCCUUUUGUUGGGAAAGAAAAGCAGCAGGUUAAUACCCCGCUGUUCUGACGGUACCCAAAGAAGAAGCACCGGCUAACUUCGUG
rnacentral:rRNA from 1 species